rnacentral:rRNA from 1 species
GGGCAGCUACCCAGCAAUGGGAUGCGAAUCUCGAAAGCCUGUCUCAGUUCGGAUUGGAGGCUGAAACCCGCCUCCAUGAAGUUGGAUUCGCUAGUAAUCGCGCAUCAGCCAUGGCGCGGUGAAUACGUUCCCGGGCCUUGUACACACCGCCCGUCAAGCCAUGGGAGCCGGGGGUGCCUGAAGUUCGUGACCGCAAGGAGCGACCUAGGGCAAAACUGGUGACUGGGGCUAAGUCGUAACAAGGUAGC